GUGGGGAAUAUUGGGCAAUGGGCGCAAGCCUGACCCAGCAACGCCGCGUGAGGGAAGAAGGUUUUCGGAUUGUAAACCUCUGUCGCAGAUGACGAAGGAAGUGACGGUAAUCUGUGAGGAAGCCCCGGCUAACUACGUGCCAGCAGCCGCGGUAAUACGUAGGGGGCGAGCGUUGUCCGGAAUUACUGGGCGUAAAGGGAGCGUAGGCGGUCGAUUAAGUUGGAUGUGAAAUACCCGGGCUUAACUUGGAGGGUGCAUCCAAUACUGGUUGACUAGAGUACAGGAGAGGAAAGCGGAAUUCCUAGUGUAGCGGUGAAAUGCAUAGAUAUUAGGAGGAACAUCGGUGGCGAAGGCGGCUUUCUGGACUGACACUGACGCUGAGGCUCGAAAGCGUGGGGAGCAAACAGGAUUAGAAACCCCGGUAGUCC
rnacentral:rRNA from 1 species